GAUGAACGCUGGCGGCGUGCCUAAUACAUGCAAGUCGAGCGAACAGAUAAGGAGCUUGCUCCUUUGACGUUAGCGGCGGACGGGUGAGUACACGUGGGUAACCUACCUAUAAGACUGGAAUAACUCCGGGAAACCGGGGCUAAUGCCGGAUAACAUUUAGAACCGCAUGGUUCUAAAGUGAAAGAUGGUUUUGCUAUCACUUAUAGAUGGACCCGCGCCGUAUUAGCUAGUUGGUAAGGUAACGGCUUACCAAGGCAACGAUACGUAGCCGACCUGAGAGGGUGAUCGGCCACACUGGAACUGAGACACGGUCCAGACUCCUACGGGAGGCAGCAGUAGGGAAUCUUCCGCAAUGGGCGAAAGCCUGACGGAGCAACGCCGCGUGAGUGAUGAAGGUCUUCGGAUCGUAAAACUCUGUUAUUAGGGAAGAACAAAUGUGUAAGUAACUGUGCACGUCUUGACGGUACCUAAUCAGAAAGCCACGGCUAACUACGUG
rnacentral:rRNA from 1 species